AGAGUUUGAUCAUGGCUCAGAUUGAACGCUGGCGGCAUGCUUUACACAUGCAAGUCGAACGGCAGCGCGGGGCAACCUGGCAGCGAGUGGCGAACGGGUGAGUAAUACAUCGGAACGUACCCAGAAGUGGGGGAUAACGUAGCGAAAGUUACGCUAAUACCGCAUACGUUCUACGGAAGAAAGUGGGGGACCUUCGGGCCUCAUGCUUUUGGAGCGGCCGAUGUCUGAUUAGCUAGUUGGUAGGGUAAAGGCCUACCAAGGCGACGAUCAGUAGCUGGUCUGAGAGGACGACCAGCCACACUGGGACUGAGACACGGCCCAGACUCCUACGGGAGGCAGC
rnacentral:rRNA from 1 species